CUUUCCUCCCCAGAGCUUCCUUUAACCUCCUGUCAGGACAGAAGGCAGAGCCAGCUGGAAAGAAUCGGCAAGUAAGCCAAGUCUGGGCUCCUUAGGCUGUCCAGGCCUCCCCUUCCUCCCUCCUGCUGGCUGUGUGCACCUCCCUUUGGUGGCAGGAUGUAGGGACAGAAGCUUGGUGAUGUUGACAGAGCUUUGGACUUCAAGCCAGAUGGCCCACUGCUGCUGACUGGCCGGCUCUGUGCCCCUGGGUAAAUUGUGGCCUCAGUUUCCUCAUCUGUGCAAGGCAAUAACAACCCUCCUUUUACAGGGUGUUGGGAAGCCAAAGUGUCCAGGGCAGUGCUGUGUGGAUUGUCCAGCACGGGGCACUGCACCAGGCCAACUCUGCAGGCUGGGCCCUUGCAGCCACAGGCCUUGUUGCUCCCACAUGAAGGCCAGAUGCCCUACAGCUGGGCUCCACUGUCAGAAGCCCCAGCCACGUGUCACUGGUGUCCUUAGGUCCUGCUGGCUGAACGUUUCCUGAAACCAGGGCCCUGGGAUGAAUUGAGAGAGAGUGAGAUCAUGUCUGGGCCACGCUCUGGGAGCUUCAGAGGCGUCCUAAGAUAAACACCAGGCGGCCUAACUGCCUGGAAGAACAGAGGCUGCCACAAACCUCGGCUCCACUCCCCACUAUCGAGGGGGUGGGGGAAGCACGCCUUUCCUGUCAGGUGGGCAAUCAGACCCGUUCUGAGCCACAGCUGAAGCAGUAGAACAGGCAGAUGUCUUGCAGGCUCCUUCCUACAGUGCUGGCUGAGACAACAAAGAGGUAGUAUUGCUCAAGGGCUUGGAAGGAAGAGACAGGGGUCAGAGUGGCAAAGCCCCGAGACAGAAGGAGGAAAGUGAGGGAGGGAAGGAGACAAAAACAAGGCCUAGGCUGGGCAGGCAUCUGUAAUCCCAGCACUCAGGAAGCUGAGGCAGGAGGAUUGCUGUGAGUUCGAGCCAAGCCUGAGCUAUACAGUGAGUUCAAGGCCAGACUGAACUGUAGCUUACAUAGUGAGACUCUCAAAAAGAAAAAAUAAAAACAAAAAGAAAGAGAAACCUUGCACAAAGACUCUGGGUGUCCUUUAUUCCUAAAAGGAGAGGGAUGCU
rnacentral:lncRNA from 1 species